AGACCGGAGCUGUUCCUAUUCGGCCAUCUUGGCUCCUCCCGAUUUUUUAAGCAGAAUUUUUCUUUUCUUAUUGUUGAGUUUUAAGUAUUCUUUGUAUAUUUUGGAGAACAGUCUUUUAACAGAUUUCUUUGUAGUCAAUUAGGACUGCCCAUUAAAGUGGCAGAAUAAGCACAGUGCCUGCUGCUAUGAUGUGAUGGGCCGUGGGAAACACUUUUCGCCUAAAAUCACCUCCUGCAAUGGCCUACUUAAGGCAUUUGAUUCACCUAUGUUAACAAAGAUGGAGUUUCACCAUGUAGCCCAGGCUGGUCUUGAACUCCUGGGCUCAAACAAACCACCUGCCUCAGCCUACCAAUGUGCUGGGAUUAUAGGAGUGAGCCACCACACCUGGCGUUAUCUGAGCUUCUUAGUAUGUGCUCCAUCCAUGUAUCAUUCAGAGGUGGAACUCACAUUUCUUCCAAUUUAAGCUGCACCUCCUCAGUGAUGUGGCCCCCCUAAUAGUCCUCUACACAGUGACCCCUCCUCCUUUGGAAUCGUUAUUGUCAUUUGGAACCAUAGUAGCUUGUCUCCAAAGAUGGCCUUCCAGUAACUCAUGCUUCCUGAUGAUCAGGCCCUAAAUAGGUUGUCCUUGUGACUUCCAUCUUGACCCAUAGAAUGUGGUGGAAGUAGCAUUGGAUGACGUCCAAGGUUAGUUCAUAAAAAGCCUUGUGGAUUCUUCCUCAGCCUCUAGAAACACUUGCUCUUGGAGCGUAUGCUUUGAGGAAAUCCAAAUGUCAUAUGAGAUGCCUGAGACCACCUAUCUCAGACUAUUGUGGGAGAGACUACUGUGCUGUGAAGAAGUACAAAGUAGCCAUGUGAAGAUACCAUACGGAGAAAGACAGAUGCCUAGGUAGCCCCUAGCUGUGCCAGCCAUCCCAUCAGAAUCACCACACAUAAGAGUAAAGGAAUCAUUGUGGAUGUCCAGCCUAGUCAAGCCUGUAGAUGAUUCCAGUUCCAGUUGCCAUCUGUCAGUAACUGCCUGAGACCCAAGACAAGAACCACCCAGCUUAGCCCAGUAAAUCCACAGAAUCACGUGUUAUCAUGAUAAUAAAUUGUUUUUUUAAGCAACUAAGA
rnacentral:lncRNA from 1 species